GAUGAACGCUAGCGGCAGGCUUAACACAUGCAAGUUGCGGGGCAGCAGUUCUUCGGAAGCUGGCGACCGGCGCACGGGUGCGUAACGCGUAUGCAACCUACCCUUUACAGGAGGAUAGCCCGAGGAAACUCGGAUUAAUACUCCAUAGUUUGAAUGAAUCGCAUGAUUUAUUUAAUAAAGUUCCGGCGGUAAAGGAUGGGCAUGCGUGACAUUAGGUAGUUGGAGAGGUAACGGCUCACCAAGCCUACGAUGUCUAGGGGUCCUGAGAGGGUUAUCCCCCACACUGGUACUGAGACACGGACCAGACUCCUACGGGAGGCAGCAGUGAGGAAUAUUGGUCAAUGGGCGCAAGCCUGAACCAGCCAUGCCGCGUGCAGGAAGACGGCCCUAUGGGUUGUAAACUGCUUUUANAUAGGAAGAAUUCCCUUACGUGUAAGGGGUUGACAGUACUAUAGGAAUAAGCACCGGNUAACUCCGUGCCAGCAGCCGCGGUUAAAGUAUCGUACG
rnacentral:rRNA from 1 species